rnacentral:rRNA from 1 species
UAGAGUUUGAUCCUGGCUCAGAACGAACGCUGGCGGCGUGGAUAAGACAUGCAAGUCGAACGAGAGAAUUGCUAGCUUGCUAAUAAUUCUCUAGUGGCGCACGGGUGAGUAACACGUGAGUAACCUGCCCCCGAGAGCGGGAUAGCCCUGGGAAACUGGGAUUAACACCGCAUAGUAUCGAAAGAUUAAAGCAGCAAUGCGCUUGGGGAUGGGCUCGCGGCCUAUUAGUUAGUUGGUGAGGUAACGGCUCACCAAGGCGAUGACGGGUAGCCGGUCUGAGAGGAUGUCCGGCCACACUGGAACUGAGACACGGUCCAGACACCUACGGGUGGCAGCAGUCGAGAAUCAUUCACAAUGGGGGAAACCCUGAUGGUGCGACGCCGCGUGGGGGAAUGAAGGUCUUCGGAUUGUAAACCCCUGUCAUGUGGGAGCAAAUUAAAAAGAUAGUACCACAAGAGGAAGAGACGGCUAACUCUGUGCCAGCAGCCGCGGUAAUACAGAGGUCUCAAGCGUUGUUCGGAAUCACUGGGCGUAAAGCGUGCGUAGGCUGUUUCGUAAGUCGUGUGUGAAAGGCGCGGGCUCAACCCGCGGACGGCACAUGAUACUGCGAGACUAGAGUAAUGGAGGGGGAACCGGAAUUCUCGGUGUAGCAGUGAAAUGCGUAGAUAUCGAGAGGAACACUCGUGGCGAAGGCGGGUUCCUGGACAUUAACUGACGCUGAGGCACGAAGGCCAGGGGAGCGAAAGGGAUUAGAUACCCCUGUAGUCCUGGCAGUAAACGGUGCACGCUUGGGUGGGCGGGGAAUCGACCCCCUGCGUGCCGGAGCUAACGCGUUAAGCGUGCCGCCUGGGGAGUACGGUCGCAAGAUUAAAACUCAAAGAAAUUGACGGGGACCCGCACAAGCGGUGGAGUAUGUGGCUUAAUUCGAUGCAACGCGAAGAACCUUACCUGGGCUUGACAUGUAAUGAACAACAUGUGAAAGCAUGCGACUCUUCGGAGGCGUUACACAGGUGCUGCAUGGCCGUCGUCAGCUCGUGUCGUGAGAUGUUUGGUUAAGUCCAGCAACGAGCGCAACCCCUGUUGCCAGUUACCAGCACGUGAAGGUGGGGACUCUGGCGAGACUGCCCAGAUCAACUGGGAGGAAGGUGGGGACGACGUCAGGUCAGUAUGGCCCUUAUGCCCAGGGCUGCACACGUACUACAAUGCCCAGUACAGAGGGGGCCGAAGCCGCGAGGCGGAGGAAAUCCUAAAAACUGGGCCCAGUUCGGACUGUAGGCUGCAACCCGCCUACACGAAGCCGGAAUCGCUAGUAAUGGCGCAUCAGCUACGGCGCCGUGAAUACGUUCCCGGGUCUUGUACACACCGCCCGUCA